UACGAAGGGGGCUAGCGUUGUUCGGAAUUACUAGGCGUAAAGGGCGCGUAGGCGGUUGCUCAAGUCAGGCGUGAAAGCCCCGGGCUCAACCUGGGAAUUGCGCUUGAGACUGGGCGGCUUGAGUUCGGGAGAGGUGAGUGGAAUUCCCAGUGUAGAGGUGAAAUUCGUAGAUAUUGGGAAGAACACCGGUGGCGAAGGCGGCUCACUGGACCGACACUGACGCUGAGGCGCGAAAGCGUGGGGAGCAAACAGG
rnacentral:rRNA from 1 species